CCUGAUCCCUUCCCGAACUCAGAAGUGAAACCUCUUAGCGCUGAUGGUAGUGUGGGAUUACCCAUGUGAGAGUAAGUCAUCGCCAGCU
rnacentral:rRNA from 1 species